GGCUUAGUGAGGCCCUCGAUUGAGGUUCGGAGACUGGCAACAGUUUCUGUCUUUGAGAAGUUGGUCAAACUUGGUCAUUUAGAGGAAGUAAAAGUCGUAACAAGGUUUCCGUAGGUGAACCUGCGGAAGGAUCAUUACCAAUUUUAGCGAGCCUGGCAUUACUUCCAUGGUCUCGUGAAAUUAUUGUAUUUAAAACCCACUCUUCUAUAAUAAAAUAAUAUGUAUUAUGAUAAAAAAUUAAAGAUCACUUUCAACAACGGAUCUCUUGGCUCUCGCAUCGAUGAAGAACGUAGCGAAGUGCGAUAAGUAGUGUGAAUUGCAGAAUUCCGUGAAUCAUCGAAUCUUUGAACGCAAGUUGCACUCUCUGGUAUUCCGGGGAGUAUGCCUGUUUGAGGGUCAGUUUAAAUAAAAAUCGGUGUGUUGCUUUUUGUAACGCCUCGGAUUUGGGUUAUCUUAGCCUUUGGGUUAAGAGACCUAAAAUUGACUUUUUUUGUGCAUUUUUAUAGACGUACAUAAGAUAUUUUUUUAUUCGUCUUGGAAUGUCAAAUUUAUUAGGUAUGAUCAUGUUGUGUGAUUUCGUACCUAUAGGUUUCAUCAUCUGACCUCAAAUCAGGUAGGGACACCCGCUGAACUUAAGCAUAUCAAUAAGCGGAGGAAAAGAAAAUAACAAUGAUUCCCCUAGUAACUGCGAGUGAAGAGGGACAAGCUCAAAUUUUAAAUCUGUUAGGUAUCACCUGGCCGAGUUGUAAUUUGAAGAAGCGUUUUCUGCGCCUUGAUCAGCCCAAGUCCUAUUGAUGAGCAUCAUGGA
rnacentral:rRNA from 1 species